rnacentral:misc_RNA from 1 species
GGAACCUUGGAUAUAGUGCUGGCAAGGCAACCUCUUUUCUUUAGGGAGACAGAUCCACAACCCAGAAAGCACACACUUUGGCAAGCUACUUCAGAUUUUACUGACGGACAGGCUAGUAUACACAGGCGACAUUACUUAGAGUGUCCGCAUGGAUUGUUGGGAAAGCAUAUUGAAAAGCUUGUGCAAUGUGAUCCUCGUCUCAACUUUCUGAGUCAACAAGCAGAGAUGACUCUAGAUUCUCCUUAUUUUGAAUCCCAGAUGUCAGGUUUUGAAGACACACAUGAAAGGGACCGUGAAUUUGAU